rnacentral:tRNA from 1 species
AGCUGCUCGUCCGGGUCGCCUGAUCGACGCCGGAGCACGCGCUAGCUUUGCCCUCCGAAGGCAGAGGUCGUGAGUUCGAAUCUCGCCGGGUGCGCCA